AGAGUUUGAUCAUGGCUCAGAGCGAACGCUGGCGGCAGGCUUAACACAUGCAAGUCGAGCGGGCGUAGCAAUACGUCAGCGGCAGACGGGUGAGUAACGCGUGGGAACGUACCUUUUGGUUCGGAACAACCCAGGGAAACUUGGACUAAUACCGGAUAAGCCCUUACGGGGAAAGAUUUAUCGCCGAAAGAUCGGCCCGCGUCUGAUUAGCUAGUUGGUGAGGUAAUGGCUCACCAAGGCGACGAUCAGUAGCUGGUCUGAGAGGAUGAUCAGCCACAUUGGGACUGAGACACGGCCCAAACUCCUACGGGAGGCAGCAGUGGGGAAUAUUGGACAAUGGGCGCAAGCCUGAUCCAGCCAUGCCGCGUGAGUGAUGAAGGCCCUAGGGUUGUAAAGCUCUUUUGUGCGGGAAGAUAAUGACGGUACCGCAAGAAUAAGCCCCGGCUAACUUCGUGCCAGCAGCCGCGGUAAUACGAAGGGGGCUAGCGUUGCUCGGAAUCACUGGGCGUAAAGGGUGCGUAGGCGGGUCUUUAAGUCAGGGGUGAAAUCCUGGAGCUCAACUCCAGAACUGCCUUUGAUACUGAAGAUCUUGAGUUCGGGAGAGGUGAGUGGAACUGCGAGUGUAGAGGUGAAAUUCGUAGAUAUUCGCAAGAACACCAGUGGCGAAGGCGGCUCACUGGCCCGAUACUGACGCUGAGGCACGAAAGCGUGGGGAGCAAACAGGAUUAGAUACCCUGGUAGUCCACGCCGUAAACGAUGAAUGCCAGCCGUUAGUGGGUUUACUCACUAGUGGCGCAGCUAACGCUUUAAGCAUUCCGCCUGGGGAGUACGUCGCAAGAUUAAAACUCAAAGGAAUUGACGGGGCCCGCACAAGCGGUGGAGCAUGUGGUUUAAUUCGACGCAACGCGCAGAACCUUACCAGCCCUUGACAUCCCGGUCGCGGACUCCAGAGACGGAGUUCUUCAGUUCGGCUGGACCGGAGACAGGUGCU
rnacentral:rRNA from 1 species